rnacentral:tRNA from 1 species
GGACAAUUAGUUUAAUUAAAAACUUUUGCUUUGAAAGCAGGGAAUCUAUUCCUUUAGAUUGUCUU